CAGUGGUGGUAGCCACACGGGGAAAUCUGGAGAAAGGGGAGAAGGGCAUCUCCCAGAAAGAGGGGGUGAGCCCCCUGGAAUGGGGAACUGGGCCUCCGGAAGGAAGCUGCAGGCAACAGGCGAUGAAGAACCUAAGUCGGAGAAACCAGACAGGGGAAGUCAGGGGUUGAUGAAGUUCUUUCGGAGAGGCCAAUGGGCACCCAAAGAAAUAUCGCUUGCCCCUAGCGAGAUACUACCAAGACCUGGACCCCAUUCGAAAGGAGAUGCUGUCUUCCUGGGGACGUAGAGGUGCCCGUCUCCGCCGGCGGCUCAGAGAUCUUGUCCUCCACUGUCCUCUUUAACUCUGUGGGUGGCCGGAGAUGGGGGCGAACGCGAAGAAACUACAGGUAUCACCGCCUGAUGGGGAACCUCGUCUCUUCCAUGGUGGCAGAAGAAGACCUGCCUCCCCCCACGUGGUAUGAGGUCCCAAGAGACGACGCUGUGGGUCCACCUCCCCCUCCUCCCCUCCGAUACCUGGCUAACGGCAUGAUCAUGGCAGAAGGGCAUCCCUUGGCCCACCUCAACCUUGACCAUGGCACCCAGAGGGGAGAAUAAAAUGAAACACCUGGUAGAAGCAUCUCA